UACGUAGGGUGCGAGCGUUAAUCGGAAUUACUGGGCGUAAAGCGCACGUAGGCGGAUUGUUAAGUGAGGGGUGAAAUCCCAGGGCUCAACCCUGGAACUGCCUUUCAUACUGGCAAUCUCGAGUCCGAGAGAGGUGAGUGGAAUUCCGAGUGUAGAGGUGAAAUUCGUAGAUAUUCGGAGGAACACCAGUGGCGAAGGCGGCUCACUGGCUCGGUACUGACGCUGAGGUGCGAAAGCGUGGGGAGCAAACAGGG
rnacentral:rRNA from 1 species